rnacentral:lncRNA from 1 species
AAAAGAGAGUAUGGUAGAAACUAAUUUGAAAAUGUACAGCAAUGCAUGUUAUUGGCCGUCCUAGAAGAAUCAGGCCUAUCAUCUUCUCACUCUCUUCUCUUAUUUAUACAUAUAGAUGAGGACAGAACUGUAUUUCCUGUCAUCACAGAAGAAUCGGCCCAGCCUCUUUGGAAUGCCAUUGAUUGUUCCAUGUACUGUGCAUACCCGGAAAAAAGAUCUUUAUGAUGCAGUCUGGAUUCAGGUAUCUCGACUAGCCAGCCCACUCCCACCUCAGGAAGCUAGUAAUCAUGCUCAGGAUUGUGACGACAGUAUGGGCUAUCAGUAUCCAUUUACUCUACGAGUUGUGCAGAAAGAUGGGAACUCCUGUGCUUGGUGCCCAUGGUAUAGAUAAAGUGACCUCUGCUAAAGAAAAGUUUUAGAAGAAUUGUAACUUCAGAUAUUACACCUUUUUCAUAUACUUCCAGUUUGGGGAAAUAAUAGCGAAUAAUGAGAAACUUGAAAUAAACUUAGGAAUUGUUUGCAUUCAUCUCUUUUUGUAAGAUAGACAGCUAAAUUUUCCUCCUCGGCCUUUCACAAUGGGACUACAGGCACAUGCUACUGUGCCAGGCCAUACUACGCUAAACUUUCUGCCCCCUAAAAAUAGAUCAGUUUGGCAAUUGUGAGGCAGUAAAAUAUAGUCUACUUACUAGAUCUUGUUGGAAGACUGGGGGUUUUUGUUGUUUAUUUGGUUUGUUUGGUGCUUUGGUUUUUUUGAGACAGGAUCUCCCUUUGCAGUUCAGGCUGGCUUUGAACUCAUUAUUUAUCCCAGGGUGACCUUGAACUCACAGUGAUCCUCCUGAGUGCUGGGAUUAGAGGCAUGUGCCACCAUGCCUGGCUUGUUUUUCGGUUUUUAGAAGAGUUUUGGAGAUUGAUUGGGGAAAAAUACCUGAUAAUACUUAAGUCAACUAUUAGAGAACUGGAAUAAUCCUAACAGACUGAAAAGGAAUUGGGAACCAUGGCUUGUCAUGUCUUCCUCCACGCAGCUCCAUAAAUUUUUAUUUUCAUUUACUUAAUGUGCCAUUUUACAAACAAGAAAAUAAGCAUUGUUAGAUGUUACCCUACCUCAGACUAUUAAAUAAACUAAAUUUAGAAUUUCUUUAGAGGGCUGGGGAUUUAGCUCAGUGGUGCUGAUGCCUGCCUCACAAGCACAAGGCCCUGAGUUUGAUCCCCGGUACCCAAAAAAAAAAAAAAAAAAAAAAGGAAUUUCUUUAGAGCAGAUAAUGUCAAAUAACCAAUUCUUGUAUAUAACUUAUUUGUCUUAAGCUCAAAUCUUCCUACACAUUAUCAGAUGUUUAUCAAGUGCUGUAAAAAAUGAAAGACUUAGAGGUGAUAAGCAUAAUUCCCUGAAAUAAUAAUUAAUAAAUAUUACUACAUUUGUCAGAGUGUGAAAUUAGAAACCCAUGACAAAUUAUAAAACUAAGAGCAAAGUAGAAAAGUAGUAAGGAAGAAUAUUUCUGAUUAAGAAAAUUUAGAUUCCUUCAUAAUUAUUUCUUCAUCUGGGGACCUUUUUCUUCCUUUUAGAUUUUGUAGAGGCUGUAAAAUUGACUGUGGGGAAGACAGCGCUCUCAUUGGAAAUGCCUACAUUGCUGUGGAUUGGGACCCAACGGCUCUUCACCUCUGCUAUCAAACAUCACAGGAAAGAGUAAGUGCUCAGGGCCACCAUGAGGUGGUUGUUUCUAUAUGGGAAAUUUUUCCCAACUUAACUGUAUAAUGACAAUGUAAAAUAACCAGAAAAAAAAUUAUUGGGAUAUUUUAUACCACUUAACAUACUCAUAUGAUUUCUUGGGGUUUUUUUCCCCCUGACAUUGCAAAUCAAUUGUAUUGAGGCAUUAAAUUUCAAAAAUAUUAAUAACAAGUAAAUCUUGGAACAAACAUUAUAAUUAAGACAUUAUAUUCUCUGACCAUGACAUACCAAUAAACAUUUUUCUUCCCAUUUCUUAAGUAAUCAAUGAAGCUCUAGCGUUUGAUAACCACAAUUACUUUACUCCUGUUCUACAGUGAUAGCUGCUAUCUUUAAUGACCAUGGUGAUUACAAAAAUUAAAAAUUAAAAUGUUGGGCUGGGGAUUUAGCUCAGUGGUUCUGCCACCUGCCUUGCAAGCAGAAGGUCCCGAGUUUGAUCUCCAGUACCAAAAAAAAAAAAAUAUGUAUAUAUACAUAUAUAUAUAUAUGAAAAAGAUUAGAAUGUAAAAUUUUGGAUUUAUGUGUGUACAUACAUAUUACAUACACAUAGGAGCCAGGAAUUUAGCUCAGUGGUUUAGACGCCUGUCUCACAAGCACAAGGACCCAAGUUUGAUCCCCAGUACCAAAAAAAAAUCAAUAUCCAUUAGUGGGCCGGGGAUUUAGCUCAGUGGUUCCGCCGCCUACCUCACAAGCGCAAGGUCCUGAGUUCGAUCCCCAGUACCAAAAAAAAAACCAAACGCAUAUUACAUACACAUACACAUAAUCUUCCCCCCACGAUCCCCCCGGUACCGGGGGGAUCAAACUCAGGACCUUGUGCUUGCAAAGCAGGCACUGGAACCACUGAGCUAAAUCCCCAGACCCUAUACACCCAAUCUUUACCAUUUUGAGUUUUUAAAUAUAAAAGUGCAUAAAAAGGAAUUUUAUGUUAUGUACCCAGAAUUCAUUAGUAAUGAUCAUUU